rnacentral:rRNA from 1 species
UACGGGGGGGGCAAGCGUUGUUCGGAAUUACUGGGCGUAAAGGGCGCGCAGGCGGGCGAGACAGUCUUUCGUGAAAUCCCACGGCUCAACCGUGGAACUGCGGGAGAUACUACUCGUCUUGAGUCCGGGAGAGGAGUGUGGAAUUCCCAGUGUAGCGGUGAAAUGCGUAGAUAUUGGGAGGAACACCGGUGGCGAAGGCGGCACUCUGGACCGGUACUGACGCUGAGGCGCGAAAGCUAGGGGAGCAAACGGG